UUAAACACCAGUUCUCAUAUGGUCACCAAAGUUAAGCAAUGUUGAGCUUGGUCAAUAUCUAUGUGGGUGACCGUUUGGGAAUACCAGGUGCUGUAA